rnacentral:rRNA from 1 species
GUAGUCUGCAACUCGACACAUGAAGCUGGAAUCGCUAGUAAUCGCGGAUCAGAAUGCCGCGGUGAAUACGUUCCCGGGUCUUGUACACACCGCCCGUCACACCAUGGGAGUUGGGAAUGCCCGAAGUCAGUGACCUAACCGAAAGGAGGGAGCUGCCGAAGGCAGGCCUGAUAACUGGGGUGAAGUCGUAACAAGGUAUC